rnacentral:rRNA from 1 species
UACGUAGGGUGCAAGCGUUAAUCGGAAUUACUGGGCGUAAAGCGUGCGCAGGCGGUUUUGUAAGUCUGUCGUGAAAUCCCCGGGCUCAACCUGGGAAUUGCGAUGGAGACUGCAAGGCUAGAAUCUGGCAGAGGGGGUAGAAUUCCACGUGUGAGCAGUGAAAUGCGUAGAGAUGUGGAGGAACACCGAUGGCGAAGGCAGCCCCCUGGGUCAAGAUUGACGCUCCAUG